rnacentral:rRNA from 1 species
UACGUAGGGUGCGAGCGUUAAUCGGAAUUACUGGGCGUAAAGCGUGCGCAGGCGGUUGUGCAAGACAGAUGUGAAAUCCCCGGGCUCAACCUGGGAACUGCAUUUGUGACUGCACGGCUGGAGUGCGGCAGAGGGGGAUGGAAUUCCGCGUGUAGCAGUGAAAUGCGUAGAGAUGCGGAGGAACACCGAUGGCGAAGGCAGCCCCCUGGGCUAGCACUGACGCUCAGGCACGAAAGCGUGGGGAGCAAACAGG